AUACGGAGGAUCCGAGCGUUAUCCGGAUUUAUUGGGUUUAAAGGGUGCGCAGGCGGCCAUUUAAGUCAGCGGUUGAAUCGUGGGGCUCAACCCCAUUCUGCCGUUGAUACUGGGUGGCUUGAUUGCGGUCGAGGUUGGCGGAAUUCGUUGUGUAGCGGUGAAAUGCAUAGAUAUGACGAAGAACACCGAUUGCGUAGGCAGCUGACCAGACCGCAAAUGACGCUCAUGCACGAAAGUGCGGGGAUCGAACAGGAUUAGAUACCCUGGUAGUCCGCACAGUAAACGAUGAAUACUUGUUUUCGGCGAUAUAAUGUCGGAGGCAAAGCGAAAGCGAUAAGUAUUCCACCUGGGGAGUACGCCGGCAACGGUGAAACUCAAAGGAAUUGGCGGGG
rnacentral:rRNA from 1 species